UACGUAGGGGGCAAGCGUUGUCCGGAAUCAUUGGGCGUAAAGCGCGCGCAGGCGGUCCUUUUAAGUCUGAUGUGAAAGCCCACGGCUCAACCGUGGAGGGUCAUUGGAAACUGGGGGACUUGAGUGCAGGAGAGAAGAGUGGAAUUCCACGUGUAGCGGUGAAAUGCGUAGAGAUGUGGAGGAACACCAGUGGCGAAGGCGACUCUUUGGCCUGUAACUGACGCUGGAGGCGCGAAAGCGUGGGGAGCAAACAGG
rnacentral:rRNA from 1 species